rnacentral:lncRNA from 1 species
GCCUAGUUGGUAGAGAAAUUAUAUUUUAUCAGACCUCCUGAUACAACAAUGUGUUUAAGAUCACAACUCUGAUAAUUGCAUUAAUAAGAUGGCACCAUCUGUUAUAUAGACUCAAAGUGGCACUUUUAUAACAAGAGAAGGUUAAUCUACUUGCAAUGUGUCCAUAAUACAUUCACCGUCAUGUGUAAUUCAACAACUCUCAGUGAGUUUCUCUUGGUGCUGUUCAAGUCAAUCUAUUUCUAGAUUUACACUUUAUUUACUGAUUAGAAAGUACUCAAAUUAAUAAUAAUUACUUCAUAGUCACAUAAUUAUCCCCAAUUAGUCUAUUUAUCUCCUAAAUAUACAAGAUUUAUAGUGAAAGAAACAUGCCUGUCUACAGUGAGCAGGCAUUGACAAUAUGUAAUAUGGGUAAUUCUUGAUGGAAGCACGAGUUCUGGCACACAAGUAAAACCUUAGUGAGAGAGACCUGUUGGAGAGAUGUAGGGGGUACGAUGUUGGGUAGAUCCGGUGGUCGUCCAAGUAGCAGUCGGGCAAGGUCACCAUGGGUCGCGCGUCGCCGUCAUCCUUGUUGGUGUGGCCAUGGUCAACGCGGCCGUGAGGACCAUGCUGGAGAUAUACGAGGGGAAGAAGACGACAGGGCAGUGCGGCGUGCGGCAUGGCCGGGCGGAGGGGCACACCACAGUGUGGUGGUGAUGCAGGGGAGACGAUGGAGAGACGGGCUGCAGUGGGACACGAGAGUCCGGUAAGGCACACGGCGGGGCGGCUUGGAUGCGGACGACGGUGGGGAACGGCAGGAUGGUAGUGAGCACAUCUGGAUCUUGGAUAGGAGAUGCUUCGAGAGAAGGGGGAUUUGGGCUUCUUGUAAUCUGGAGGCGGAGGGAUUUGAGCGGGGGAAAGAGACCUAAU